GAUGAACGCUGGCGGCGUGCCUAAUACAUGCAAGUCGAGCGAACAGACGAGGAGCUUGCUCCUCUGACGUUAGCGGCGGACGGGUGAGUAACACGUGUAUAACCUACCUAUAAGACUGGGAUAACUUCGGGAAACCGGAGCUAAUACCGGAUAAUAUAUUGAACCGCAUGGUUCAAUAGUGAAAGACGGUUUUGCUGUCACGUAUAGAUGGAUCCGCGCCGCAUUAGAUAGUUGGUAAGGUAACGGCUUACCAAGGCAACGAUGCGUAGCCGACCUGAGAGGGUGAUCGGCCGCACUGGAAGUGAGACACGGUCAAGACUCCUACGGGAGGCAGCAGUAGGGAAUGUUACGCAAUGGGCGAAAGCCUGACGGAGCAACGCCGCGUGAGUGAUGAAGGUCUUCGGAGCGUAAAGCUGUGUUAUUAGGGAAGAACAAAUGUGUAAGUAACUAUGCACGUAUUGACGGUAACUAAUCAGAAAGCAACGGCUAACUACGUG
rnacentral:rRNA from 1 species